GAUCCUGGCUCAGGAUGAACGCUGGCGGCGUGCUUAACACAUGCAAGUCGAGCGAAGCACUUAGGAAAGAUUCUUCGGAUGAUUUCCUAUUUGACUGAGCGGCGGACGGGUGAGUAACGCGUGGGUAACCUGCCUCAUACAGGGGGAUAACAGUUAGAAAUGACUGCUAAUACCGCAUAAGACCACAGCACCGCAUGGUGCNGGGGUAAAAACUCCGGUGGUAUGAGAUGGACCCGCGU
rnacentral:rRNA from 1 species